UGGACAGAAGUUGAUAUAAUAAGUUAUGAUAAGUGUUGGCACAUCUCACAGAUACGUGUGAAAAUCAUUCAUCCCAUCAACCAUUUUUGGCUAUCAAAGAAGAGAAACCUGUGCUCACAACUACAGAAGGAUGGAUCAGCCCUGGUAAUACAAAUACAAGGAAUAUUUCAAAAAGCAACAAUAUUUGUAAUCAUACAGCCAUACCAAGGAGAAAGCUGUAGAAAGCUCCCACUUCAAUCAGUACAUCACU